rnacentral:rRNA from 1 species
AGCGAACGCUGGCGGCGUGCCUAACACAUGCAAGUCGUACGAAAAAGAAAUUUUUAGUGGCAAACGGGUGAGUAACGCGUGAGAAUUUACUCUUAUGGUAGAGGAUAACUUUUAGAAAUAUUAGCUAAAACUCUAUAUGCUUUUAAUAAGUGAAAAAAGAAAUUUGCCUAAGAAAAUGCUCGCGUCUGAUUAGCUAGUUGGUAGGGUAAAGGCCUACCAAGGCGAUGAUCAGUAGCUGGUCUGAGAGGAUGAUCAGCCACACUGGAACUGAGACACGGUCCAGACUCCUACGGGAGGCAGCAGUGAGGAAUUCUCUGCAAUGGGCGAAAGCCUGACAGAGCAACGCCGCGUGAGGGAAGAAGGCCUUCGGGUUGUAAACCUCUUUUCUAAAGGAGGAAGAUCUGACGUUACUUGAGGAAUAAGCAUCGGCUAACCCUGUGCCAGCAGCCGCCGUAAAAC